rnacentral:rRNA from 1 species
GACGUAGGGGGCAAGCGUUGUCCGGAUUUAUUGGGCGUAAAGCGCUCGCAGGUGGUUCAUUGCGUCGUGCGUGAAAGACCCCGGCUCAACUGGGGAGGGUCGUGCGAAACGGGUGAACUAGAGGCCAGUAGGGGGAUGUGGAAUUCCGGGUGUAGUGGUGGAAUGCGUAGAGAUCCGGAGGAACACCAGCGGCGAAGGCGGCAUCCUGGACUGGUCCUGACACUCAGGAGCGAAAGCGUGGGGAGCGAUCCGG